rnacentral:rRNA from 1 species
UACGAAGGGGGCUAGCGUUGUUCGGAAUUACUGGGCGUAAAGCGUAUGCAGGCGGAUCGUUAAGUCGGGGGUGAAAUCCCGAGGCUCAACCUCGGAACAGCCUUCGAUACUGGCGAUCUUGAGUCCGGGAGAGGUGAGUGGAACUCCGAGUGUAGAGGUGAAAUUCGUAGAUAUUCGGAAGAACACCAGUGGCGAAGGCGACUUCCUGGCCUGUUCUUGACGCUGAGGCGCGAAAGCUAGGGUAGCAAACGGG